rnacentral:tRNA from 1 species
UCGGCGGCAGCAGGCGUUCAUCGCCGGCGGGCCUCAGGUCGGCCAGCGGGUGCCAUUCGAAUUCGCCGCCGUGGUGCUGCUCCAGGUUGCCCAC